UACGGAGGGGGCUAGCGUUGUUCGGAAUUACUGGGCGUAAAGCGCACGUAGGCGGCUUUGUAAGUUAGAGGUGAAAGCCCGGAGCUCAACUUCGGAAUUGCCUUUAAGACUGCAUCGCUUGAAUCGUGGAGAGGUGAGUGGAAUUCCGAGUGUAGAGGUGAAAUUCGUAGAUAUUCGGAAGAACACCAGUGGCGAAGGCGACUCACUGGACACGUAUUGACGCUGAGGAGCGAAAGCGUGGGGAGCGAACAGG
rnacentral:rRNA from 1 species